rnacentral:tRNA from 1 species
UUGUAGCUUAAUUGGUAAAAGCAGCCGACUUUUAAUUAGCAUACGGGAGUUCGAAUCUUCUC